UUUUCAAUUUAUCUAUAAUAAUAUAUAUUUUUUUUGAAUUGCAAUAGCAUUUGCAUUAUCAAGGCCCAUAGGGCAAACUUACAUAAAAUGGGCCUACGAUCAAAACAUAAGAAAAGAGACCUAAAACGAGCUCAGUACAAACCCAACACAAACCUGCAUGAAACUUAGCCCAGCUCUUACCCAAAAACCCUAAGCAUGUAGGAAAACAAACCACCCUUUUCACUGCAGUGCUGCCGACAUGAAGGAGAGGACCCAGCCACCUACUCAAAAAGCAGUGCCUCACCUAUGUUUGUACACCAUCAACAGUCAGGAGAGUGACAUCGUAGAGCUCAUCGGCCUUCCAAUCU
rnacentral:misc_RNA from 1 species